CCCACUGUAGCUCAGUUGGUAGAGCAUGGCGCUUGCCAGGCCAGGGUUGUGGGUUUGAUUCCCACAGGGGGC
rnacentral:tRNA from 1 species